GGGGUCUUAGCUCAGUUGGUUUAGAGCACCUGCCUUGCACGCAGGGGGUCAAGAGUUCGACUCUCUUAGACUCCACCA
rnacentral:tRNA from 1 species